rnacentral:rRNA from 1 species
AGAGGAAGUAAAAGUCGUAACAAGAGUCUCCGUUGGUGAACCAGCGGAGGGAUCAUUACCGAGUUUUCAACUCCCUAACCCUUCUGUGAACCUACCUAUCGUUGCUUCGGCGGACUCGCCCCAGCCCGGACGCGGACUGGACCAGCGGCCCGCCGGGGACCUCAAACUCUUGUAUUCCAGCAUCUUCUGAAUACGCCGCAAGGCAAAACAAAUGAAUCAAAACUUUCAACAACGGAUCUCUUGGCUCUGGCAUCGAUGAAGAACGCAGCGAAACGCGAUAAGUAAUGUGAAUUGCAGAAUCCAGUGAAUCAUCGAAUCUUUGAACGCACAUUGCGCCCGCCAGCAUUCUGGCGGGCAUGCCUGUUCGAGCGUCAUUUCAACCCUCGACCUCCCCUUGGGGGGGUCGGCGUUGGGGACCGGCAGCACACCGCCGGCCCUGAAAUGGAGUGGCGGCCCGUCCGCGGCGACCUCUGCGCAGUAAUACAGCUCGCACCGGAACCCCGACGCGGCCACGCCGUAAAACACCCAACUUCUGAACGUUGACCUCGAAUCAGGUAGGA